AUUGAACGCUGGCGGCAUGCUUUACACAUGCAAGUCGAACGGCAGCGCGGGCUUCGGCCUGGCGGCGAGUGGCGAACGGAUGAGUAAUGCAUCGGAACGUGCCCAGUAGUGGGGGAUAGCCCGGCGAAAGCCGGAUUAAUACCGCAUACGACCUGAGGGUGAAAGCGGGGGACCGAAAGGCCUCGUGCUAUUGGAGCGGCCGAUGUCGGAUUAGCUAGUUGGUGGGGUAAAGGCUUACCAAGGCGACGAUCCGUAGCUGGUCUGAGAGGACGACCAGCCACACUGGGACUGAGACACGGCCCAGACUCCUACGGGAGGCAGCAGUGGGGAAUUUUGGACAAUGGGGGCAACCCUGAUCCAGCCAUGCCGCGUGCGGGAAGAAGGCCUUCGGGUUGUAAACCGCUUUUGUUCGGGAAGAAAUCCUCUGGGCUAAUACCCCGGGGGGAUGACGGUACCGGAAGAAUAAGCACCGGCUAACUACGUG
rnacentral:rRNA from 1 species